AAGAAAAGGGGGACAUAAGAACCAAUGUCUGUUAUUAAGGACUAUCAAGCACUUUGAGCCCUCGAGGUGGAGGUUGCAGUGAGCCAGGAUUGCACACUAUACUCCAGCCUGGGUGACAGAGUGAGACCCUGUCUCCAAAAAAUAAAAAAAAAAGAGCUCAUGGUUUGAAGGGGAGCUAGGGAAGUAGUAGUGAUAGUAUUAUUGGGAAUACACUUGAGGGUAGGAUGAGGGAAGGAUGGCAAUAGAUGCAAAGGGAUUCCAUGCAGAAGAGACAAUUGGAGUCAGGAAAAGCACAACAAAGUGUAGGUUGGAUGGUAGUGG
rnacentral:lncRNA from 1 species